UGGGGAAUUUUGGACAAUGGGCGAAAGCCUGAUCCAGCAAUGCCGCGUGUGUGAAGAAGGCCUUCGGGUUGUAAAGCACUUUUGUCCGGAAAGAAAUCCUUGGCUCUAAUACAGUCGGGGGAUGACGGUACCGGAAGAAUAAGCACCGGCUAACUACGUGCCAGCAGCCGCGGUAAUACGUAGGGUGCAAGCGUUAAUCGGAAUUACUGGGCGUAAAGCUGCGCAGGCGGUUUGCUAAGACCGAUGUGAAAUCCCCGGGCUCAACCUGGGAACUGCAUUGGUGACUGGCAGGCUAGAGUAUGGCAGAGGGGGGUAGAAUUCCACGUGUAGCAGUGAAAUGCGUAGAGAUGUGGAGGAAUACCGAUGGCGAAGGCAGCCCCCCUGGGCCAAUACUGACGCUCAUGCACGAAAAGCGUGGGGGAGCAAAACAGGAUUAGAUACCCCUGGGUAGUCCACGCCCCUAAAACGAUGUCAACUGUUGUUGGGGAUUCAUUUCCUAGUAACGUAGCUAACGCGUGAAGUUGACCGCCUGGGGAGUACGUCGCAAGAUUAAAACUCAAAUGAAUUGACGGGGUCAUAGCUG
rnacentral:rRNA from 1 species